rnacentral:rRNA from 1 species
GACGAACGCUGGCGGCGUGCUUAACACAUGCAAGUCGAACGGAAAGGCCCCUUCGGGGGUACUCGAGUGGCGAACGGGUGAGUAACACGUGAGUAACCUUCCCUUGACUUCGGGAUAACUUCAGGAAACUGGGGCUAAUACCGGAUAGGAAUCCUUGCUGCAUGGUGGGGGUUGGAAAGCUUCGGCGGUUUUGGAUGGACUCGCGGCUUAUCAGCUUGUUGGUGGGGUAGUGGCUUACCAAGGCUUUGACGGGUAGCCGGCCUGAGAGGGCGACCGGCCACAUUGGGACCGAGAGAAGGCCCAGGCGCCGACGGGAGGCAGCAGGGGGGAAUACUGCACAAGGGGCGGCAGCCUGAUGCAGCAACGCCGCGGGCGGGAUGACGGCCUUCGGGUUGUAAACCGGUUUCAGCAGGGGCGAAGCUGGUGGUGACGGUACCUGCAGAAGAAGCACCGGCUAACUACGUG